ACCUGCACAGGUGCUGCAUGGCUGUCGUCAGCUCGUGUCGUGAGAUGUUCGGGUUAAGUCCCGCAACGAGCGCAACCCUUAUCCCCAGUUGCCAUCAGGUAAAGCUGGGAACUCUGGGGAGACUGCCGGUGAUAAACCGGAGGAAGGCGGGGAUGACGUCAAGUCCUCAUGGCCCUUACAUCCCGGGCUACACACGUGCUACAAUGGCAGGUACAGAGGGCUGCGAAGCCGCGAGGUGGAGCGAAUCCCAGAAAACCUGUCUCAGUCCGGAUUGAAGUCUGCAACUCGACUUCAUGAAGGCGGAAUCGCUAGUAACCGCGAAUCAGCAGGUCGCGGUGAAUACGUUCCCGGGCCUU
rnacentral:rRNA from 1 species